GUACUCGCUUCGGCAGCACAUACACUAAAAUUGGAAUGAUACAGAGAAGAUUAGCAUGGCCCCUGCACAAGGAUGACAUGCAAAUUCAUGAAGUGUUCCAUAUUUUA
ensembl:snRNA U6 U6 spliceosomal RNA